rnacentral:lncRNA from 1 species
UUUCCAUCUUUCUAUUAGUCUGUCUCUCGCUACUCUCUCUAUAUAUUAUUUUUGUUAUUAUUUCACCCAUAAUAAUAAUAAAGCCAUGUCCUAUUUUGAGUGUUUUAACCCUUGACUACUGAUACCCUGUCCGACUGACGUAGGGCCCCGUAACGUAUAUUAAGGCUCUGCCUAAAUUCGUUGGGGUUCUGUCUCGUGACGUAGGGAUAAAGUAGAAUUGGAUUACUAUACUUAAUAUGAGUGCACUAUAUAUUUUAUUAAAUAACCCAGGAGUGAUACCCAAAAUAUAACAACCCUUCUAAAACACCCUUGACACCCUACACUUCCUAAAAAAACACCCCGUAUGUGAAAACCGAGCCCGAAAUACAAUAUAGCAUUAAAAAUAAAUUCAAAACAAGAAAAAGUAAGUUGAGGCAGGCCGCGUAAGAUCCUCGCUUAGUUAACGCGGGCCGCGAGAGAUCUAAGUUGUGGCGUAGCCCGGUGAUGACACGUGUCAUCAUCGUGGCGGGUCUAGAGGGUGAGCCGGACAAGCUAGUCCGUUGACCAGGGUUGACGCGGGCCGCGUAACCCCUGUCCUUUCUUUACGCGGGCCGCGUGGGAACCAGUUUCAGCAACUAUAAAUAGAGGCCAUCGGAUUUCAUUUGGAAUUCGCUCACGAACGUUUUCUUCUCUCAAAUCUGAAUAUUAGGCAUAAUACUCGGGUAUUAUACCCCCCCUAAUUAGCGAAGCUCUGCCUCGUUAUUAUAACCAGGAAGUCACAAAGGAAAGCCCUAUAAUAGCAAUGUGAGUUAAUCCUCUUUUUAUAUACUCAUUUUUGUGAGUAAUCCUCUUUUUGUUAAAUGUUUUUACAAAACCUUACAUACUUUUCCAUGCGAAUAGCAGUUAUUGAGUAUUUGUAACUUAGUAUGAAGCCAAUAAAAGCCAGCUGGAGAGCACUGAAGGCUUGGAAAAGUGGCAAUAAAGUUACCUAAAAUAAAAUAGAUGUUUUUUUAAAUAAAAUAGGAUUUAUUCCUAUGAAAAUUUGUGUACUGCAAACUUGGGUUUUAUCCCAUGUGUUUAAUAUUAUGAAAAUAUGGUGGUUUUACU